CGCUUGCACCCACCCUCUGCCAAUCCCCAGUUAUUGUUAUUUUUCUUUUCAGAAUCAACCACUCCAGCAGAACUCAUCUAGCUUUGCAGGAAAAGGCUGCACCAAUGUGGUCACAGCAAGUGAGCCAAGACUGGGGGAUCCUGCCAAAAUCUAAAGCGGUGCCGUCCAAACGUGGGAACCCAGAAAAGCAGGAGGCGGUGGACGCUGACGCUGACUCCGGAGCAGAAGUUGAAUUUCCAGAAAUAGAGCCAACCUACACCCUUCUCGGCUACCCUUGCUCCACGUUCUUCCAAGCAGAAAGCAACUCCCCUACCAGUGACACUCACAUAGAACAGGAAUCUUUGUGAUAACCCGGCACCACUGGGACCAGAGCAUAUCACAUUAUCCUCCUGGAACCCCUUUUCUUUAGAGAUGGAUUCUGACAAACCAAAUGCAAACAUCAAGUUUUAGAUGCCAAUUGGUUGCUUGCUGUUUGUACAUUCUGUCUCCUGAUCCUGGUAGUAA